rnacentral:hammerhead_ribozyme from 1 species
AUCCAACUAACGAGUCCCAAAUAGGACGAAACGCGCAUCCUGAAU